GGUUUGAUCCUGGCUCAGAUUGAACGCUGGCGGGAUGCUUUACACAUGCAAGUCGAACGGCAGCACGGACUGGUCUGGUGGCGAGUGGCGAACGGGUGAGUAAUGUAUCGGAACGUGCCUAGUAGCGGGGAUAACUACGCGAAAGCGUAGCCAAUACCGCAUACGCCCUUCGGGGGAAAGCGGGGGGACCUUCGCCUCGCACUAUUAGGAGCGGCUGAGAUAUCGGAUUAGCUAGCUGGUGGGGCAACGGCUCACCAAGGCGACGAUCCGUAGCUGGUUUGAGAGGACGACCAGCCACACUGGGACUGAGACACGGCCCAGACUCUACGGGAGGCAGCAGUGGGGAAUUUUGACAAUGGGGGAAACUCCCUGAUCCAGCCGCAUCCUGCGUGUGCGAUGAAGGCCGCCUCGGGUUGUAAAGCACUUUUGGCAGGAGAAGAACGGCACGGGAUAAUACCCCGUGCAACUGACGGUACCUGCAGAAUAAGCACCGGCUAACUAUGUGCCAGCAGCCGCGGUAAUACGUAGGGUGCAAGCGCGGGCACCGGAAUGCUUCAUGUAAAGCGUGCGCAGGCGGUUCGGAAAGAAAGAUGAAAUCCCAGAGCUUAACUUUUGAAACUGCAUUUUUAACUACCGAGCUAGAGUGUCAGAGGGAGGUGGAAUUCCGCGUGUAGCAGAAAUGCGUAGAUAUGCGGAGGAACACUGAUGGCGAAGGCAGCCUCCUGGAAACACUGAGUCACCAUGCACGAAAGCGUGGGGAGCAAACAGGAUUAGAUACCCGGUAGUCCACGCCCUAAACGAUGUCAACUAGCUGUUGGGGCCUGGCCUUUGGUAAAGCAGCCAUGGUGAAGUUGACCGCCUGGGGAGUACGGUCGCAAGAUUAAAACUCAAAGGAAUUGACGGGGACCCGCACAAAGCGGUGGAUGAUGUGGAUUAAUUCGAUGCAACGCGAAAACCUUACCUACCCUUGACAUGUCUGGAAUCCCGAAGAGAUCGGGGAGUGCUCGCAAGAGAACCGGAACACAGGUGCUGCAUGGCUGUCGUCAGCUCGUGUCGAGAUGUUGGGUUAAGUCCCAAUCGCAGCGCAACCCUUGUCAUUAGUUGCUACGAAAGGGCAUCCUAUCGUGAGACUGCCGGUGACAAACCGGAGGAAGGUGGGGAUGACGUCAAGUCCUCUCAUGGCCCUUAUGGGUAGGGUUUCAAUAUCGUCAUACAAUGGUCGGGAAUAGGUCGCCAACCCGCGAGGGGGAGCCAAUCCAGAAACCGAUCAGUCCGAUCGCAGUCUGCAACUCGACUGCGUGAAGUCGGAAUCGCUAGUAAUCGCGGAUCAGCAUGUCGCGGUGUGAAUACGUUCCGGGUCUUGUACACACCGCCCGUCACACCAUGGGAGUGGGUUUUACCAGAAGUAGUUAGCCUAACCGGGCAGGAGGUGGCGAUUACCACGGUAGGAUUCAUGACUGGGGUGAAGUCGUAACAAGGUAG
rnacentral:rRNA from 1 species